rnacentral:rRNA from 1 species
UAGGGAAUCUUCGGCAAUGGACGAAAGUCUGACCGAGCAACGCCGCGUGAGUGAAGAAGAUUUUCGGAUCGUAAAGCUCUGUUGUAAGAGAAGAACGUGUGUGAGAGUGGAAAGUUCACACAGUGACGGUAACUUACCAGAAAGGGACGGCUAACUACGCGCCAG